GUGCCAGCCGCCGCGGUAAUACGAAGGGUGCAAACGUUGCUCGGAAUCAUUGGGCGUAAAGCGCACGUAGGCGGCUUCGCAAGUCGGAUGUGAAAUCCCUCGGCUCAACCGAGGACGUGCAUCCGAAACUGCGGGGCUUGAGUACUGAAGAGGAUCGCGGAAUUCCCGGUGUAGAGGUGAAAUUCGUAGAUAUCGGGAGGAACACCAGUGGCGAAGGCGGCGAUCUGGGCAGAUACUGACGCUGAGGUGCGAAAGCGUGGGGAGCAAACAGGAUUAGAAACCCCGGUAGUCC
rnacentral:rRNA from 1 species